AACUUCUGGGAAACAAGAAAGCAGAAGACCUGGCAGCAUGCAAGGAAAGCAGUUUCCAGGUUAAGAGUUCCAACUACACAGCUUCAGAAAAUGGCUACAUGUAGAAAGAGAGAGGCUGAAGAUUAAGAAAGUACAAAGGGAAAAAAUAGGGGCCCCUUGAUGUUCCAACAUCCAGGAUGAUCUAUCAGAUGAAUGAGUGAAGCCAUCUCACAGCUAGUUGAGCUACCUCAGUGAACACCACACAAAGAAGAGGUAAGUUGUGCCACUGGGUCCUGCCCAAAUUGUAGACCAAAUAAAUGGAUGUUAUCCAAAGCUAAAAAGUCUCGA
rnacentral:lncRNA from 12 species